AGGAGGGAGAAGAUUCAGUGCUUAUUUAAUCCUGAAAAUAAAAACCAAGACAGGCAACGAAAGCAGGAGAAGAAACAGCUAAAAGAACAUCGUGAAGAACCAUAAUGAUGUAUGCUGAUUAACGUUCUCGGACAAUGACACUGAAUGAGCCAUGUGGGCGUAAAGACACUGCUACAUUGGACUGGCUAGGUCCCAUCCGGACCAGAUGCCCUGGAGCCCGCUAAGCUAACCCUCAUCACAGUUUACUGCAUUUCUGAGUCAUUAUUCAUUCCUUACCAUAAAACUGAAUGGAACACUACUGUUUGACUGCAUUUAUCAUCUCUGCGUCAGAGUUUAUUCACAUUUUACUUGUUAUUUUUACAUGAUUCUUUCAAAUGAAUUAAGCAUGAAAACUGAAACAUCCCUCAGACUUUGAGCAAAGUCUUAAACCCCUCUUCCCCUUUUUAUUUGUGAUUAUUCUCAGUAGAGUUUAAUGCCUGCAUAGUAAGUAGAUAUAAUACUUUGUGAUUAUUACCACCGUGGCAGAGAGGAGGAUGCUGUCCAGGUUUCAGUCCAUCUUAGACAAUGACUCACAUCCUCUCCACGACAGUCUGGUCCAGCAGACGAGCUCCUUCAGCAGAAGACUCCUCCUACCCAGAUGCACCACAGAGCGCCACAGGAAAUCAUUCCUACCUGUGGUCAUCACUCUCUAUAACACCUCCCUCAAGUGAUUCAGCACCCC